rnacentral:rRNA from 1 species
UACGGAGGGGGCUAGCGUUGUUCGGAAUUACUGGGCGUAAAGCGCACGUAGGCGGCUUUGUAAGUUAGAGGUGAAAGCCCAGGGCUUAACCCUGGAAUUGCCUUUAAGACUGCAUCGCUAGAAUCGUGGAGAGGUGAGUGGAAUUCCGAGUGUAGAGGUGAAAUUCGUAGAUAUUCGGAAGAACACCAGUGGCUAAGGCGACUCACUGGACACGUAUUGACGCUGAGGUGCGAAAGCGUGGGGAGCAAACAGG